CACGUAGGGGCAAGCGUUGUCCGGAAUCACUGGCGUAAAGCGCACGUAGGCGGACUCUUAAGUCGGUGGUGAAAUCCUGGAGCUCAACUCCAGAACUGCCUUUGAUACUGGCGAUCUCGAGUCCGGGAGAGGUGAGUGGAACUGCGAGUGUAGAGGUGAAAUUCGUAGAUAUUCGCAAGAACACCAGUGGCGAAGGCGGCUCACUGGCCCGGUACUGACGCUGAGGUGCGAAAGCGUGGGGAGCAAACAGG
rnacentral:rRNA from 1 species